rnacentral:lncRNA from 1 species
UAUUGGUAGAUAUAUCCUAUUGAAAGAUAAAAAAAUCAUAAUUUUUUUGUCAUAUUAGUUAUAAGAUGUAAAUAUAUUAGUUAAAUUUAAAUUUAUUUUUAUUUUCAAAUUCUUGUAUGCCCUGAAAAAGUAUAUGUGCGAUAAGGCACGGCCUAAAGGGUAUAUAGUAGAAGCAUAUAUAGCUAUGAAGUAUGUCACGUUCUGCUCGAUAUAUCUUGACGAUAUCAAAAUA